AUUGAACGCUGGCGGCAUGCUUUAUACAUGCAAGUCGUGCGGCAGCGCGGGGGCAACUCUGGCGGCGAGCGGCGAACGGGUGAGUAAUACAUAGGAACGUAUCCUGAAAUGGGGGAUAGCUCGGCGAAAGCCGGAUUAAUACCGCAUACGCUCCACGGAGGAAAGCGAGGGGAUCGCAAGACCUUGCGUUUCUGGAGCGGCCUAUGUCUGAUUAGCUAGNGGCGGGUAAUAGCCACCAAGGCGACGAUCAGUAGCUGGUCUGAGAGGAUGAUCAGCCACAC
rnacentral:rRNA from 1 species